rnacentral:rRNA from 1 species
AUUGAACGCUGGCGGCAGGCCUAACACAUGCAAGUCGAGCGAGCGGCGGACGGGUGAGUAAUGUCUGGGAAACUGCCGGAUGGAGGGGGAUAACUACUGGAAACGGUAGCUAAUACCGCAUACCAUCAGAUGUGCCCAGAUGGGAUGAGCUAGUGGGGGGGGUAACGUCUCACCUAGCCGACGAUCCCUAGCUGGUCUGAGAGGAUGACCAGCAAAACUGUACCUGAGACACGGUCCAGACUCCGACGUGAGGCAGCAGUGGGGAAUAUUGCAAAAUGGGCGCAAGCCUGAUGCAGCCAUGCCGCGGGUGUGAAGAAGGCCUUCGGGUUGUAAAGUACUUUCAGCGGGGAGGCGUUACCCGCAGAAGAAGCACCGGCUAACUCCGUGCCAGCAGCCGCGGUAAUUC